UUUAGAAGUGAAAAGCUCUUUUUUUUUUUUUCCCCCCCACAAUUUGGAACAUAAGUAUGAACAAUUGAUUUUGAUCUUGUAAGCCUUUAUAAAUGCUGAAGUUUAUAUCGAGUGGGUGCAGUGAGCUUAGUUUAAGAGGCAACUGAUAAGAGGUUUAUAUUCUAUGAGUAAAUGCUUGUUAGUUACAGAAUAUUUUUCAAAACCAGAAAAGAUUACAUUUAAGACAUGAACCUUUCACUGUAUAUGCCUCUUCUGACUUUUAGUAAGUGCUGUAUAUGGAUGUUGAUUUCUGAAAUAUAUGAGAAAUACUGGUUUGAUCUUGUCAAUUAAUUUCAGAAAUGCUCAGAAACUGGGUUCUUGGUUGCUGCAUUACCUUGGAACCAUUUCUGGAUCACUCUGUCUCAGGCUCAGAGGAUCUGGGUAUUAUUUUAAUUUACAUAGCUGUGGUCGGCAGAAGUUAGGGGUUGUUUUAAAGUCAGGAAGCAGGUAAACUUAGAAAGGAAGACUUAGAGUGGAGAGUGAUCCCAUUCUGGAAAAUGCUUGAUCACAUUUUCAAAUAAAAGUAAACACUCAAAUUAUUAUAAUGGAGAACUCAAGUACAGUGGCAGUCUCUCUAUACAAGAGACUGGCAGUUUGGGCUUCUAACAGCUCCAGCAUGUAUUGGUCUUACUGGGAAAGGUGAAGAAAAUCCUCAUGGCUUCAGGUCUGACUAGGGAUGGCCCUAUUUGAGAAGGUAUUUAAGCAUUUUAAAUGUGUUUUUCUUCACAGCAUGCUUGAUAUCACAUAUACAAUAUAAUGUAUGUGUGGCAGACUAAUGCUCUAUCUGGUUUGUCUGUUCUCAGUGUUGAGUGUAGCAGAGUCUGGAGGGAUCAGAGGCCAAGUCCUGGUCCUGCCCUGCUCCAGGGGAACUGGCCAGCAGAAUGGGAGAGUGGAUCCCCUGCAGAAGAGUGGAUGUGUAUUCUCAGCAGCCUGCAGCAGAAGGCACUGGCAGAGAGCUAAAAGAGGUGGGGAGUGUAGCAGGUGAUUGGGAACACCUCCUAGAAAAGCUGAGUGCAGGCGACAGACAAGCCUUGGAGGUGAGGACAGAGGGCACUUUCCAUGUACAGUAACCAAGAAAGGACAGAGCUUGCAGGAAAACAAGGAGCCAUGGACUAGAAAGCAUGACUGAGAACCAGGCUUCAUCCAGCAAUGAUUUAACUGGAGAGUAGAAGUCCUUGUAUUUUAAGCUGGUUUUCCAACCUCAAAGUUUCUCUGCUCAGGAAUUCUAGCCUGUUUUAAUCUGUUUUCAAAUAACAUUCAAUUCUAUAUUUUCACAGAGUAGUGCCUUUACAUUAAAAGAAAGCAGAUUUACCUCCUAGCCUUGGCUAAAUGACACUUCAUAGAAAAUGUCAUUUAAAGUAGGGCCUGUUAUUGGAAGGAUUUGAGUAAUGAUUGUCGAUGAUAUGAAUCAAAGUAACUCUAAAGUCUGAACAGCCCAAACAGAUACAAAAAGCCCCUGGGUGAUGACUGAAGAUCAGCUUUGUGAUUUUGUUAAUUUCUGUGCCAAUAAAUCCAAAACUGAGAACAGAUGUGGCAGAGCAAGAGUAGAGAUUUUCCUUUUCAAAGGAAAAAUCCUUUUCAUGAUUAAAGACUAACUUUGAGGCUCUUGUCAAUAGUUCCAAAAUUACGUUUGUCAUAACACUUUAUAGAAUGCUAAUGAUAAGCUAUUUAUUGUGUGUAAAAUGUCAGUUUAUUUCUUACUCUCUUCUUUUGAUCUAAUACUUCCUGAUCUGUUGAAGUCUCAUUAUUUAGGUCUCUGCAGUGAUUAUCCAGGGGAACCCGUGUAGCUGUGGAGAGAGAAGAUGUACAAGAAUGAGGUGCAGCACCUGUGGAACUGGUUGAGGGGUACAGUUGGCCCUGAAAUUAAGAAGCUCCUUAUAACUUUGAUCUGUUAUCAUAGUGGAAUCUUUGUUACUGAUUUAUGUAUUAGAUAUGUUGCACAGUUCCAGCUUGAGGCCAAGAAGGAGGUAAGAUUAAAUGAAGGGAUGGGAGAGAGAAGAGGCUGGGAACAAAGAGAUGGUUUCAGGGCAGGAGAAGACUUUCCUUCCAGGAGGCUGUGGCUGAUUGUGCCAUUUUGUUCCUGCACACACAGGACAGGGCUGAGUAACUGCAGUACCGAAUGGGGGCAUUGCCUUAGUGCCACCCAGGGAGGAACUGAUGUUGGAAAAGCUGGAUUCUGCCCUGGCUCACUGGGUGUUGGGAGGGAAGAGGGAAAUGCAGCCUAAACUCCUGUAUGUAUGGCACCUGCAUUCCAGUUUCAGUUGCAGUCAGCAUUUCACCGUUAAGCCAAAGGUGAGCAGUGCUGCUGAGGAGCACUGACAGUCCCUUCCUGUGUCUCAGCCUGGCUGCUGUGCUCAUGCUCAGAGCACACCCGGUACAACAGGAGGUUAAGGGCCCACAUGCAGAAGUAAAAGAUCAGAGCUCACCCACAGAGCUGUUGGGUAGGAGACUGCUCCUCUCUUUUGAGGAGCAGCCCUCUCCACAAUAUAGUUUUCAAGCUAAAUCUCUGUAGCUUAUUAUUGCUUCAAAAGUAAAUUCUGGCCAAAUAAGAAUUUUCAGUUAAUUUACUGCUAUCCAUCAAACUCUGCAUGGGAUUUUGUCUGUUGUGAGAAAACAUGGGUAGGUAAGAUUGUAAUACACAUGUUCUGUAAGAAUCCACUAAGAUCCGUUUUAAACUUCCUAAAUAACAGCAAGUUCCUAAAUAUGGCAAGUUCCUAUUGGAGCUUGCCAUAAAAAAAUCUGAGUUAGAAGCAGUCCCAAAUAAAUAAAAACAUGUUGGGGCAAAACUUUUUUUGUUUUUUAAUUUCAUUAAGGCAUUUCUAAGGACUCAGGCAUAAAAUCAUCAUCAAACUUGUACCACUCAAAAGUUGAAUUCAGGCAUAAUCCAUCUUUUUGCAGAUCUUUACAAAUCCUUGAGUUGAUAAUACUCUCUAAUUUACUGACUGGGAAGUAAGUAAUGCAUCAUCCUUCUAUUUGUUUUUCCAGUUGUCAGAGUAUGGAUAGUGGUAAAAUAUUUACAUAAAUUCUGAAACAAAUAAUUGUAGAUAAACUUUUCUUACUAUGCUCACAAUAGACACACACAUAUCCCACCUGCAUUUCUGUGAAUACCAUUUAGCAUUGGAAACAAAUUUAAAUCCUGCUUUUGACUAACAAUUAUUAUACUGUAGGAAAUUUAAAGCAAUGAGUGGAUUUUUUUUUCCCUGUUUAAAGAGUAUAUGUAAGUUAGAACUGAAGUAGCAUGUAUCUCACACAAAGCUGGACUUAAUUUAAUGGAGUUAUUUCUUAAGGCUCAACGGCUGCCCUCAAACCACGGGUUAUUGAUUUAUUGGAAAAAUAAUCCUGGUGUGCUGAGAGCUGCACUGCCCUCGGCUGUAAGUCCUUGUUAAAAUCAGAUGAUAAGAAGUCAUGGAAGGAGAAGAAGCUCGUAAGUAUUUUUCUUGCCAGGUCUAUCUGUGUUUGCCCAGGCGCUACUCAGACAGGGGUGAUGGAUGCAGUGUGGCGGUGCCAGUGCAGCACCCGCAGCUCCCCCUGUGACCGCGCAGUCCCCAGGAAACUUCACUUGGCAGAGGCCUGGGUAAGUUACCCGGCUUGCAAGUUUGAUCAGGCUGGUUUGGGUCUAGUUCUGACAAAUCUUCAACACCUCCAUGGCCUCUGCCAAUGUGUGGCUGCCCUUCCCACAGAAAUUCUUGCUGUGUGUGCGACUGGUUGCACGUGUCUCUGCUGUCCUGUCAGCGCUGCCCUUUGGCCGGUGCCUGAGAAGAGCCUGGCUGUGGCCGCCCGUCUCCAGGCGGGUGUGUGCUCCAGCCCUGCUCGGCUGUGCCCGCCCGUCUCCAGGCGGGUGUGUGCUCCGGCCCUGCCCGGCUCCAGCCCUGCCCGGCUGUGCCAGCCCGUCUCCAGGCGGGUGUGCUCCAGCCCUGCCCGGCUCCGGGCUCUCCCCGUCUUUUCCGUCCUGGGCAUGCCGGGCUGGAGGCAGAAGCGCGGCGGGGCGAGGGAAGGGAACGCUCGGCAUUCCCGGCCCGCUGGCUCUGUAGUUUGCACCCACUGCCCCAAGGGUGCACUGCUGGCCCGUGUUCACCCUUCCCUCGCUCAGCCCCAGCGGCAGCUUCUCCCCUGCCUUGGCAAGCAGCGCUGACCCGGGAGUGACCGGGUUUGUUCCGCUCUCACCCUCCGCUGUCAGCAUGGCUGGGUCCCUGGAAAACUCUUCCAGAGAGAGGGAGCUGAGGGCGCUCUUGGACUCCUUCAGAUUACGUUCGUAGCAGAAGGAGGAGUUAGAAACACAAGAGUACCUUUCAUCCAAAACACACAGUGCCUUGGAACACUCGAGCACUGUUUGAACAAUGCAAGUGGCCACUUGCUGCAGUGUAAAGUGUUUGAAAGACUGAAUGCUGAUUCCCAAGUUAUGACCUUUGGUAACAUUUUUAAAAGCUCUCCACUGUUCCCCUGACACAGGAAGUCUUACAACAGACAUCAGCAGCUAAUCAGGGUACUGUUAAGCUGGCUAAGGAGGAUUUUCUUUCCUGGAGAUUUUCAUCAAGUGAAGGGGUUUAGACUACCAGGAAGAUGUUGGUUGUUUCCAGUGCCCCAUUUCUUUUUUUCCCCACCCAGUGGGUGAUCAGAAUAGAGAGAUAUCUUACCAGAUGCAAUAUUUUCAGAGGGAGGAACACUUAACUAGCAAUACUUCUAUAGUUAAACAAAAGUAGAGUUAUAGCCAAGCAGAUUCUUUACACCCACACAUUCUAUAUUUUUCAUUAGGUUUAUUCAUAGUUUUGCCAUUGACAGAGAAAUAACUUUAAACAUUCUUCCUCAUAGGAAACAAAUGGCCUAGUUAGGGCUUCCUGAGCAGACAGUCUUUGUUUAUUGAGUUUUACACGUGUUAUAUAACUCCUCUUAUCACACAUUUAGGAAUUCAAAGGCAGGUUUCUACCCUGAAGGCCUCUGAUAACAUUCUAUUUUCUCUUGUAUUUUUCCUACCUACAGUUUCCAACUUUGUGGCACUAUUAAUAUACUCCAUCAAUAAUUUUAGCCAGUCUCUUCAAAUAACAACAAAACCUAACUUUGAUGAUAGAGGCUAUUUUCCAAUAUAUAAAUCCUCUGUGUUUUGUAACCAAUUUAUUAUUAAUAUCUCAUUUCCCAUGGAUUAUUAUGUUCAAACCUUAUUCAGUGGCAGCAUAGAGCCACUAUCUGGCAAUAAUUAGGGUUUCCCAUGGAAAAUUUAAAAUAAGUAUACUGAAACCCACUAUCAGUGGGUUGUAUCCUUUCAGAGGAUGAUACUUUAUCAAGUUCUGUAUCCUUUCAGAGCAGAUUUGCACAAACUGUUUUAUAGCAAAGUGCACUUUCAUUAUUUGCGAUCAGCUGUAUUUUGAAUGUGAAGAAUUGGAAUUCUUUGUACUUUAAUGAAAACAGUGGUCAUAUUUUUGCUAAGAAAGACUUCUAAUUUCAUUGUUUUCAGACUCACAGCAGUGCCUGUUUCUUUGGUAGCUACAGCCCAUCUCUCCAGGGGCACCUUCUGCAGUAACCCCAAGCCAGACCCAUCCCUCCAGCUUCCAUGUCUCCCCAUUGUCUCCAAGCAGAGGCUUUUAUCUGCUGUCUGCAGGCUCAGCCUUCUUCUCAGACUCCUGUAAUGUCUGCUAAAGAUACUUGUGCAGAUAAAAUCAGCACUACAUUUGGAUACCUUCCAGCUUUGGAGAGGGCAAGGUCUCUUACUUGGAAAUUCAUCAACAACCACUGUUUUUUCCCUCUAAACUCCAGUUCAUAUGCUGUCAAUUAAUUUCCAGGUGAUUUCAAAUUCUUCCUGAAACAGAAGGUUCACAAAACCUUCUGUGCAUUGACAUGACUUAUGAGGCAGCAGAGCUGUGGAAAAACCUCACUGCAGGAUGUUUUGGAACAGCCCUCUGCAGUUCAUCCCAGCCGUGGAGAGGUCCUGCAUUGCUCUCCUCUCCUUACAGCACCAGGAAAGCCAGGUAGGGCUGGAGCAGGGACCAGUGCUGUGAACUGAGCUGUGGGGCAGGAUUAGAUCUCCAAUUUCAUCUCAGACUUUUUGUCACUUCAGUUCUCCAACUGGAAAUAAGGAAUAAUGUCUUGCUGUAUUGAGUGCAAGUUGGAGAAAGAAGUCCAGGAAUGAUUGUGAAGCAGCCUGGUGCUGUGGCGGGGCUGGCACAGUGCUCGGGGACAUCGUGUGCUAUCACACAGCUGAACAGACAGCAGGAGAUGUCAGCCAUUGUUUUAUUAAAACUGGAGAACUUGUAGGCUGGGAUAUCCAUUCUGCAGUUCCCCAGCACUGCCUGCUCUGCCAGGUUAGACAGUCUGAGUGCAGGAGGGAACACCCCUGAGGAAGAUCCGUAACUUCCUUUAGGUUCUGUGGCAUACUGAGCACUCUCUGGCGCAUCAUUAGCAGCCUUCCUUCACUACAGGAUCUUAGUGAUUAAAACCUCUUUAAUUACAUGAGGCCUCUUGAGAAAUAUUAUCUAAAAAAAUUAGCAAAGAACAUCAGAAACUGAGUUACCUAAGCAGCUGAAAGAGUUUUUUUAAAUCAAUCUAAGUAAGCAGAUAGAGACCAGUUAAAAGUGGAAAUAACCUUUUGUCAAAUGUGAUAAUUUUAAGAUUUCAGAUUACUGACUAAUCAUCACUAAUUAAGAUGUUAACAGAGCACUUGUUUCUGUGCCUGAACUCUUCCAAAGAUGUGGCAGAUGUGUAUUUUUCCUGCAUUGUUUUUAAUUUCUAUUUUUUUCUCCAAUCUGACAAUCACCAAAUCUAAAAAAUAUUGGUCCUAGGAGUGGGAGAAAAUUUUGUCGUAUUGUUUUUCACUUUUCAUUUUUUGUUGGAGUUUGGUUUUUCAGAACAUCUUGUUAAUUUCAGAUGUAGGUAAAACAUUGACAAGUGUAUGGGUUUUGGGUAUUUUGAGGGCCUUUUUUUUUAAAGUGCUGUGUCCUUAUUAAUAGACCUUUAUGCUAAGCCAGAUGACAUUUAGAAAGGUUUCUAUCAUGUCUUUCUGGCCCAGUGAUAAACUUAAAAAAUCCCAAGGAACAUAUAUAGUUAUGGAGCUAUAAAAGCAUCUGCGUCUUCUCUGAAAUAAGAGAUUACCAAGUUUCUGGAAAUAUGGAUAAAUGCAAGGGACCAAAUCACUUGACAGGUUUAUUAAGUCCAACUCACUAAUACAUUUCCUCAGUACCAUUGUUAGAUGUUUUGAAAUCUUAUUAAUAUUAUUAAUAUUAUUUGUCUGAAAAAAAGAACUUAUGUUCCUGUACUUGAUGGACUGUCCAAGAAGGAGAAAAAGAUGCAACAGACAGGUGGUUUGAAGACACUCAAAAAUUAUUUGUUAGAGCAGGAUCUUGUUUGUGUUAUGUGAAUGUAGACAAAAAUGUGUGCAAAGAGCAUCCUGCCAGUAGGUUGUGAUGAAGAUGUCAAAACAAAGUGGGAAUUUGAAAGGGCACAACUGCUGGCUACUGGAGCUACAACCAAAGGUUUGUCAGAAAGACAUUCAUGGCUAAGGCUUGACCCAGCUGCAGUGCAGAAGGUCCCUGUGUCCCUGUGAGCAUGGCUGGGAGCCUGUGUUCAUGAGACUAUUCAAAGUGUUGUGAGCAUCCUCUCACGUGUUCACUAUACUCUGCAGUAAUGGUCCUUUCCCCUGUGAGGACCAGAGCCUGCUGAAAAUCAGUAGAUCUAUGGAACAAGUGGGAUCCUGCAGUGAAGGAUCUGAGCCUGGCAGUGCCAGCAUUGCCCAGAGAGGAGGGAAUAACACCCUGCAGUUCCCCACAGCAAGUUUCUAUCACUUGUGGCAACUUGUUCACUGAUAAUGACCACAUCUAGGAGCACAACAAAGGUUUCCAAACACUCAUGUGAAGGGAAUUGGUUUGAUAGACAAACGCUUGCAACAAAUACUUUUUUUUUUUUUUUUUGGAAUUUGCUAUUUUUCUGCUUUGUAUUUUCGUUGCACACAAGAAGUAUUACCUACAGUACAAAAUGCUUACUACUCUUUUUUUAUGUUUCAUCUUCUCAGCUAUUUUUUCCUCAUACUUUUAAAUUGAGAGACUGCGAUUUAUACUAUGGGAUUUGAUUCUCUAUUUUUUUUUUCUUCACUUCUCUUUUAGGGGCCUAACCUAUUCAUAUGUGUGCAGCAAAACUUUAUCCCUUUCCAAAGAACAAGUCUCCAUAUUAAAAACAGUAAGAGUUUGUACUUGCUUAGACACUUUAUUAUUAACUUUGCAGUACUUUAUAGAUACCAGUUAAUUAAGUUCCACAGAAGUACUGUUGCAGCAUAGGCAGGGAUGAGCGAGUUGAUAAACAGAGUGGAAGCGUGGUUUCCCUAAAUUCCUAAUGGGAUGAAGCCAGCUUUGUGAUGGUUUUUUUAGCCCCUUUAUAGAGGUUUAUGUAAUUUAAAAUUCUCCUGUUCAGUGUUCCAUUUUUCUAGCAUGUACAAGUGAGGAUUGAAAUGCACAUCAUAGAGGUGAUCAUUUCAUUUGUGAGAGACUGAGUUAUAACGACAUUUCCUUUACCUCUUCUUGAUUGGUCCUUUUGACUUUCUAACUUUAGCUUCAUCUUUCUUCUGUGCCUCAGUACUAUAAAUAUCCCUAUUGCUAAAUUGCUCUAUUUUCUAAAAUCACAUCUAGAUCUUUUCUCUUGAUGUUAUCAAUGUUAUCCACAUCUGGUGUCCUCCUCUCUGAGUUUGUGUACUUUACUUGCUUACAAGGAAUUAUUAAAGCUGCUUAUGGUGAA